rnacentral:rRNA from 1 species
AGCGAACGCUGGCGGCAGGCUUAACACAUGCAAGUCGAACGCAUCCUUCGGGGUGAGUGGCAGACGGGUGAGUAACGCGUGGGAACAUGCCCUUUGGUUCGGAAUAACUCAGGGAAACUUGAGCUAAUACCGGAUAAGCCCUUUUGGGGAAAGAUUUAUCGCCGAAGGAUUGGCCCGCGUCCGAUUAGCUAGUUGGUGAGGUAAUGGCUCACCAAGGCGACGAUCGGUAGCUGGUCUGAGAGGAUGAUCAGCCACACUGGGACUGAGACACGGCCCAGACUCCUACGGGAGGCAGCAGUGGGGAAUAUUGGACGAUGGGGGCAACCCUGAUCCAGCCAUGCCGCGUGAGUGAUGAAGGCCCUAGGGUUGUAAAGCUCUUUCGGCGGGGACGAUAAUGACGGUACCCGCAGAAGAAGCCCCGGCUAACUUCGUGCCAGCCGCCGCAGUAA